AGAGUUUGAUCAUGGCUCAGAAUGAACGUUGGCGGCGUGGAUUAGGCAUGCAAGUCGAGCGCGAACCGUAGCAAUACGGGGAGAGCGGCGAAAGGGAGAGGAAUACGUGGAUACCUACCCUCAGGUUCAGGAUAGCUAUGGGAAACUAUAGGUAAUACUGAAUAAUAUCUCCGGAUCAAAGGUGUGAUUCCACCUGAGGAGGGGUCCGCGUCCUAUUAGCUAGUUGGUGAGGUAACGGCUCACCAAGGCGAAGAUGGGUACGGGAUGUGAGAGCAUGAUCCCGCUCACUGGGACUGAGACACUGCCCAGACACCUACGGGUGGCUGCAGUCGAGAAUCUUCGGCAAUGGGGAAACCCUGACCGAGCGACGCCGCGUGCGAGAUGAAGGCCUUCGGGUUGUAAAUCGCUGUCAGUGGGGAGGAAAUGCCAGUGGGUUAUCCCAUUGGUUUGACCUAUCCGCAGACGAAGGACGGGCUAAGUUCGUG
rnacentral:rRNA from 1 species